rnacentral:rRNA from 1 species
UACGGAGGAGGCAAGCGUUAUCCGGAAUUAUUGGGCGUAAAGCGUCCGCAGGUGGCGAUUCAAGUCUGCGGUCAAAGACUGGGGCUUAACCCUGGAAAGGCCGUGGAAACUGAAAAGCUAGAGUGCAGUAGGGGUAGAGGGAAUUCCCGGUGUAGCGGUGAAAUGCGUAGAGCUCGGGAAGAACACCCGUGGCGAAGGCGGCUCUCUGGGACGGUACUGACGCUGAGACGCGAAAGCGUGGGGAGCGAACAGG